rnacentral:rRNA from 1 species
UACGUAGGGGGCAAGCGUUGUCCGGAUUUAUUGGGCGUAAAGAGCGUGUAGGCGGUUUGGUAGGUCCGCUGUGAAAACAUCGAGCUCAACCUCGAGACGCCGGUGGAAACCAUCAGACUAGAGUCCGGAAGAGGAGAGUGGAAUUCCUGGUGUAGCGGUGAAAUGCGCAGAUAUCAGGAAGAACACCCGUGGCUAAGGCGGCUCUCUAGUACGGUACUGACGCUGAGACGCGAAAGCGUGGGGAGCGAACAGG